CCGAACGGGGAGUAUUAAUUUCGGGUAAUACUCCUAGGGGCAAACCGGUGAGCAACGCGUUGGUGACCUGCCCCGAAGCGGGGGAUAACAGAUCGAAAGGACUGCUAAUACCCCAUGUGGUCGUAGAGGUUAGAGGCUGAGCGACAGAACGGAGCAACCCACUCCGGGAGGGGCCUGAGUUAUAUAACUAGGAGUGGGGAGGCAACCGGCCUACCAAGGCGAGGACAAGGCCCGGGACCUCGAGAGGGAGGCGCCCCCACACUGGCACGGAAACGCGGGCCAAACACCUACCAGGGCGGCAGCAGAAGGGGGAAAACNGGGACCAACGGGGNGCAACCCCAGAGUCACANCCCAUGCCCNCCCAGAAGACAGAGGGCCCACCGAUNAGAGAAGCACAUAGNCAGCCNAGGCAAGAGCGCCAAGCCNCGCGUANCCCCCCAUGAGAACAGACACCACCGCGCAGAAAAAAGCAGCAGCUAACCCCGAGCGNAGCAGGANCAGAGGCAAAACCAGACAGGGGCAAAGANAGAACCGAANCNAACUAGNGCCAUAAAGACCCGCCGCACCGCCUAGGGACACCCGGANAAAAANACCCCGGANGNCACCANGAGA
rnacentral:rRNA from 1 species